AGUGAACGCUGGCGGUAGGCCUAACACAUGCAAGUCGAACGGUAGCACAGUAAGAGCUUGCUCUUACGGGUGGCGAGUGGCGGACGGGUGAGGAAUACAUCGGAAUCUACUUUUUCGUGGGGGAUAACGUAGGGAAACUUACGCUAAUACCGCAUACGACCUACGGGUGAAAGCAGGGAAUCUUCGGACCUUGCGCGAUUGAAUGAGCCGAUGUCGGAUUAGCUAGUUGGCGGGGUAAAGGCCCACCAAGGCGACGAUCCGUAGCUGGUCUGAGAGGAUGAUCAGCCACACUGGAACUGAGACACGGUCCAGACUCCUACGGGAGGCAGCAGUGGGGAAUAUUGGACAAUGGGCGCAAGCCUGAUCCAGCCAUACCGCGUGGGUGAAGAAGGCCUUCGGGUUGUAAAGCCCUUUUGUUGGGAAAGAAAAGCAGCAGGUUAAUACCCCGCUGUUCUGACGGUACCCAAAGAAUAAGCACCGGCUAACUUCGUG
rnacentral:rRNA from 1 species